CCUACGGGUGGCAGCAGUGAGGAAUAUUGGUCAAUGGCCGAGAGGCUGAACCAGCCAAGUAGCGUGCGGGAUGACGGCCCUACGGGUUGUAAACCUCUUUUGUCGGGGAGCAAAGCGCGUCACGUGUGACUCAUUGAGAGUACCCGAAGAAAAAGCAUCGGCUAACUCCGUGCCAGCAGCCGCGGUAAUACGGAGGAUGCGAGCGUUAUCCGGAUUUAGUGGGUUUAAAGGGUGCGCAGGCGGAGGUGCAAGUCAGCGGUCAAAUUGCGGGGCUCAACCCCGUACUGCCGUUGAAACUGCAGCCCUUGAGUGCGCGAGAGGUAUGCGGAAUGCGUGGUGUAGCGGUGAAAUGCAUAGAUAUCACGCAGAACUCCGAUGGCGAAGGCAGCAUACCGGCGCGCAACUGACGCUCAUGCACGAAAGCGUGGGUAUCGAACAGGAUUAGAUACCCUAGUAGUC
rnacentral:rRNA from 1 species